rnacentral:rRNA from 1 species
AACGAGACCUUAACCUGCUAAAUAGCCCGUAUUGCUUUGGCAGUACGCUGGCUUCUUAGAGGGACUAUCCGCUCAAGCGGAUGGAAGUUUGAGGCAAUAACAGGUCUGUGAUGCCCUUAGAUGUUCUGGGCCGCCCCCGUGUGAAGCUCUUUCGAC